UACGAAGGGUGCAAGCGUUGUUCGGAAUGACUGGGCGUAAAGGGUUCGUAGGCGGGAAGACAAGUUCAGUGUGAAAUCCCCAGGCUCAACCUGGGACGUGCACUGAAAACUGUUUUUCUUGAGUGUUGGAGAGGGUGGUGGAAUUGCUGGUGUAGGAGUGACAUCCGUAGAGAUCAGCAGGAACACCGGAGGCGAAGGCGACCACCUGGCCAAACACUGACGCUGAGGAACGAAAGCGUGGGGAGCAAACAGG
rnacentral:rRNA from 1 species